rnacentral:rRNA from 1 species
UACGAAGGGGGCUAGCGUUGCUCGGAAUUACUGGGCGUAAAGCGCACGUAGGCGGCUUCUUAAGUCGGUGGUGAAAUCCUGGAGCUCAACUCCAGAACUGCCUUCGAUACUGGGAGCUCGAGUCCGGGAGAGGUGAGUGGAACUGCGAGUGUAGAGGUGAAAUUCGUAGAUAUUCGCAAGAACACCAAGUGGCGAAGGCGGCUCACUGGCCCGGUACUGACGCUGAGAUGCGAAAGCGUGGGGAGCAAACAGGG